rnacentral:lncRNA from 1 species
UGGAAGUGCUGUUGGGGACAUUCUGAUUGGAAAUGUCUUUUACACAAUUGAACCUUCAGGUCUGGAGAUAAGAAAUGAGGUUUUAUUUCCAAAAACCUCAUAAUAAUUAGAACAGUAGUCUGUGUGACCCUGGGCAAAUCAACCCCAAUUGCUUAAAAACAAACAAACCGAACAGUAGUAAUAUGAUUAUUUUGUCUCAGAGGGUCAUCAGACAAACUAAGAAGCAGAUUAGAACUGUUUGGACCUUCAAAACUUGACCCUGACCAUUUCUAAUAGAGUAGUAGAUUUGAAGUUGGAUAUUACUUUAUGGGUCCAUCUAUUGCAACCUCCUCAUUUUAUAGAUGAGGAAGUUUAGGUCCAUAGAGAUUAAGUGACUUACCCAAUAUCACACAAGUUCUAAGUGGAAAAUUGAGGAUUUGAACCCAGAUCCUCUGACAUUUGUGUAUACCUUCUCAUUUGAUUGUCACAACACACCUUCUAGGUAGGUGCUGUUGUUAUUUUUACCAUUGAAGAAACUCUGGCUGAAAGAGGUAAUUGAUGCUGUGAGCCACAUAUCUAGGACGUAUCUGAGGAAGGAUUCACCCCUGGUGUUCUUUGGCAUUUUUCUUACUAAGUCACACUAUUCACAAUAGAAUUGGUAAUACUGUAGGUAGAGUUUUGCAAAUCUUACAAGACUUGCAAAUCUUAGAAUAACUUACAUGAAGUUAUCAUCAUCAUUAUUAUUAUUGUUAAUAGUAGUAAUAGUAGUAGUAAUUACUUGCUCCUUUAGGUUGUGUUAGUAUACAUGUUACUCUGAACUUUAUAAUAUGUUUUUGUUCCACUUUUGUAGAUCACUCUGUAUCCUGGAAAACCAUUAAACUGAAAAAAAAACCCCAACAUAUACAUAUGGAUGACAUUGCAUCAAGUUGGAUUUCAAUCAAGAAUUGAAUAAUUUAGAGAGUUGGAAAAUUAAAUCUUAACGAUUUGAAAAUAUACCUGAUACUUUACAAAAAAGACAUCUAAAAGUGGACUGUUUCCUAAGGCACUGGUCGUCUUGAUCUGUAUGAAAAAUGGGACAUUUAUCAUUCUUUUCUGA